rnacentral:rRNA from 1 species
UACAGGGGGCUCGAGCGUUAGUCGGAAUCACUGGGCUUAAAGGGUGCGUAGGCGGCUUAUCAAGUGUUUUGUGAAAUCCCACAGCUCAACUGUGGAACAGCAGGGCAAACUGAUAAGCUUGAGGCAGGUAGGGGCCGGAAGAACAGUUGGUGGAGCGGUGAAAUGCGUAGAUAUCAACUGGAAUGCCGAUGGGGAAGCCGUCCGGCUGGGCCUGUCCUGACGCUGAGGCACGAAAGCGUGGGGAGCAAAC